CCACUGCAAACUUGAGUGGGUGUACCCCGAAAUGCAUUACCAGUCUGCUGUCACCUGUCUCCUCGCUUUUUGGAGGAGUGAUACAGGUGUUGUGGGAUACACACUGUCUGCAUCUACAUUAAGCUGGAGUUUGCCGUCUAUGCAGUUUGGAACCAAAUAGUUUCUUCUUAAAGUUAACUGCCAGGGAUUGUUUUUUCUUCAGCAAGAUAAAUUGGAGCCAACGUGGUACUUUCUGGAAUGAACUCUCAGCUGAUACCCUGACAAUCGCUGAUUCACUUCAACAAGUCCAGAGACCGUGUCGAUGUAUUGCUCCUGGAUCAUGAAGGCUGCCAGGUUGGCUGUAUAGGAAGCCAGGAAGAUGACAGCAAAGAAAGCCCAGACCAGGACCAUGAUCUUACUGGUGGUGCCCUUUGGAUUCUCAAUGGGGACCGAGUUGUUGAAGACAAUUCCCCACAGCAGCCACACAGACUUUCCAAUAGUGAAGGUCGGACCUCCGGGAUCUAGGGAGGAUAAAGCCAAGAGUGGACAGGACUCGGUAUCGGUCUAUACGUGGUGGACAAUGUUGGAGGAAAUACACUCAUCACUGUACAAUGGCGAUGCUACCUAUAUGACAAAAUAAGUAGUUUGUCAUUGCCUUUCAAAAUUACCCAUGUACUAUUCUUUUGAUCUGCUGCCUCUAUGGAAAACAUUAGACAACUUCUUGGUUAAUGUUGGGGAAAAAUUAUCUUCAAGAUUUAAAUAAAACAUCCUUUACCGGUUGUGGCAAAAAGGA